GCCGGGCUUGGUGGCACAUGCCUGUAAUCCCAGCUACUCGGGAGGCUGAGACAGAAGAAUUGCUUGAGUCCAGGAGACGGAGGUUGCAGUGAGCCGAGAUUGUGCCACUGCACUCCAGCCUGGCCAACAGAGCGAGACUCUGUCUCAA
rnacentral:sRNA from 1 species